CGGUAAUGUGGGGCGCAGCCUGAUCAGCCAUGCCGCGUGUGUGAAGAAGUCCUUCGGGUUGUAAACCUCUUUACUCAGGGAGGAAGGGAUGUUGGUUAAUAACCAACGUCAUUGACGUUACCUGCAGAAUAAGCCCCGGCUAAUUUCGUGCCAGCAGCCAUGGUAAUUC
rnacentral:rRNA from 1 species